rnacentral:misc_RNA from 1 species
CCGAGUUACAACUCCCAAACCCCUGUGAACAUACCACUUGUUGCCUCGGCGGAUCAGCCCGCUCCCGGUAAAACGGGACGGCCCGCCAGAGGACCCCUAAACUCUGUUCCUAUAUGUAACUUCUGAGUAAAACCAUAAAUAAAUCA